rnacentral:tRNA from 1 species
GCGCCCGUAGCUCAGUGGAUAGAGCGUCUGCCUCCGGAGCAGAAGGUCGUAGGUUCGAGUCCUAUCGGGCGCA